rnacentral:rRNA from 1 species
AGAGUUUGAUCCUGGCUCAGGAUGAACGCUGGCGGCGUGCCUAACACAUGCAAGUCGAGCGAACCCUUCGGGGUGAGCGGCGGACGGGUGAGUAACGCGUGGGUAACCUGCCCUAUACACACGGAUAACGUACCGAAAGGUACGCUAAUACGAGAUAAUAUAUUUUUAUCGCAUGGUAGAAAUAUCAAAGCUCCGGCGGUAUAGGAUGGACCCGCGUCUGAUUAGCUAGUUGGUAAGGUAAUGGCUUACCAAGGCGACGAUCAGUAGCCGACCUGAGAGGGUGAUCGGCCACAUUGGAACUGAGACACGGUCCAAACUCCUACGGGAGGCAGCAGUGGGGAAUAUUGCACAAUGGGCGAAAGCCUGAUGCAGCAACGCCGCGUGAGCGAUGAAGGCCUUCGGGUCGUAAAGCUCUGUCCUCAAGGAAGAUAAUGACGGUACUUGAGGAGGAAGCCCCGGCUAACUACGUGCCAGCAGCCGCGGUAAUACGUAGGGGGCUAGCGUUAUCCGGAAUUACUGGGCGUAAAGGGUGCGUAGGUGGUUUCUUAAGUCAGAGGUGAAAGGCUACGGCUCAACCGUAGUAAGCCUUUGAAACUGAGAAACUUGAGUGCAGGAGAGGAGAGUAGAAUUCCUAGUGUAGCGGUGAAAUGCGUAGAUAUUAGGAGGAAUACCAGUUGCGAAGGCGGCUCUCUGGACUGUAACUGACACUGAGGCACGAAAGCGUGGGGAGCAAACAGGAUUAGAUACCCUGGUAGUCCACGCCGUAAACGAUGAGUACUAGCUGUCGGAGGUUACCCCCUUCGGUGGCGCAGCUAACGCAUUAAGUACUCCGCCUGGGAAGUACGCUCGCAAGGGUGAAACUCAAAGGAAUUGACGG